CAGCAGCCACGGGAACACGUAAGGUGCGAGCGUUGUUCGGAAUUAUUGGGCGUAAAGGGCAUGCAGGCGGUCGUGCAAGCCCGGCGUGAAAGGUGGGGGCUCAACUCCCAACUGCGCUGGGAACUGCAAGGCUUGAGUUUCUGAAGGGCAGCCGGAAUUCCACGUGUAGGGGUGAAAUCUGUAGAUAUAUGGAAGAACACCAAUGGCGAAGGCAGGCUACCGGCAGAAGACUGACGCUGAGGUGCGAAGGCGCGGGGAGCAAACAGGAUUAGAUACCCGGGUAGUCCCUGUCUCUUAUACA
rnacentral:rRNA from 1 species